rnacentral:rRNA from 1 species
UGAGGAACAUGACCUUCGGCGGGGGAUAGCCGGCCCAACGGCCGGGUAAUACCGCGUACGACCACAUGGGGACAUCCCUGAGUGGUGAAAGCAGCAAUGCGCCGAUGGAGUGCCUCGCGGCCUAUCAGCUAGUUGGUGAGGUAACGGCUCACCAAGGCGACGACGGGUAGCUGGUCUGAGAGGAUGGCCAGCCACAUUGGGACUGAGACACGGCCCAGACCUCUACGGGGA